rnacentral:sRNA from 1 species
CCUCAUUCAGUAUGGCAACCUUUGAUGAGACACAUUUUUCUUUAUUUACGUACCAAUGUGCAGGGACCAGCAUGCCUUAUUUUGGACUUGUUUCUAUUGUUGAUCCAUUACUGUUGAAGUUACUUGUUGACAUUUAUCAUGUUAGUACCAUUUUCUCCUUUUCCUCUGCAGUGGAAUACUUGUUUAUUGGACAGACUCUAUCCCUUGUGUAAUUGUGUUCGAAAUUAUCAUUUGGAAAUGGCAUGUGAACUGAUAAACUAAGAAAAUAAUGCAGUUUUAUUUCAUUAUUUAAAUUUUUCAUGAUAGUAAUUUUAAAUAUUUUUGCAUGAUAGUAAACUUAGAUUGAAUAUGUUUUAGGUAAUUUAUUUGUAGUAAAAUUAAGUUAUAGUUUAAAAACCUAAAAUUGGUUACUUAAUACAUGUACAAGUAUUUAGUAUUUUUUUUUUAAAUGAUUUUUAUGUGAGAAUAAAAAACUUUUCUUUUGAACUAUAUAAAACAUAAAAUACAUGUAGAUUUACACUUAUUAUCAUCAGAGGACCAAUCAUAAUUUUUUAAAUAUGAAUACAAGACAUUGUAAAAUUUAUUUUUUGAAAUGUUGUACUGCCAUUGUUACAGUUGAAGUUCUAAUCAUGUUACAUUCACCUGAAUUGACUGUCACAACUGCAGGUGCACUGAGGGUGUUACAUUGGCUGUGUGUUCAGUAUGUGUGUUGGUCUACAGGACGAGUUCUUACUAUAUACCUGUACAAACAGUUGUUGUGAUGUGAAGUACAUUGACAAAUAAAGUAAUGAUAAUAUG